UCUGUCUCUCAUGACAUUCUGUCUGCUUUAGUCCCAAACUCCUUCCAGGUUCAAUCUGGAACUGUCUCUAUGAGCUCGGCCAGACAAACCCUGAUGUUUGUAAUUAUUCCCGUCCACACAGAGAAGGAGCUGAAAUUUCAAGAUACAGGAAUCUAAAGACAUGUGAACUCAUCUUUGAAUUAGGAACUGAAAGUGAAAAAGAAAACCUCCGACAGACCCCAAGUUCUGAUCUGAAACCGUCCGCCGGAUUGUGAUUGUGGAGUUCGAGUACCUUUUAGAAGGUUUCAGGUCUUUCAGCAGUAGAAGGUCUGAGAUGCUUCUACAGCAGCUGCUGGUCCUGCUUGUUUCCCAGCAUGCUUUGGGUGUGGAGGUGUUCGAUGGCAUGGAGUUGGUCCAACUGCCCUGCCAGGUCAACGUGUCUGUUUCCAUGGAGUCCACGGUUGUGUGGAGCCGCGAGGACCUUAGGUUUUCUACUGUUCACAUCCAUCAGCAGAGCGGCGACGAUCUGUCUGAGCAGAACCAGCGUUACAGCAAUAGAACGAUGAUGAGCAAGGAUGCUCUGCUGACCGGAGACCUCAGUCUGACUCUGAAGAACCCUACUGUCUCUGAUAGUGAGACAUACACCUGCACUGUCCGCAGGUUUGGACAGGAAUUGAGCCGUAUCCACGUACAUCUCCAAGUAAAGGAACAUCCUCAUCCGACAUGGUUGAUACCUAUGUUAGUGGUGAUGAUUCUAUUUUUCGUCCUGACUGCUGUCUUUGGUUUGGUCUUCUAUAAGAGAUACAAGAGGAUAAAACGUGAUCCAGUCUACAAGCUGCAAGUGGUGAAGACUGCAGAGGGGGCAGAAGCUGUUGUCCUGCCCUGUAAAACCAAAGUUCAUCUUCCUCAAACGGCAACAGUAGAGUGGAGACGUAUAGACACGGACCAGGUGGUCCACCUGUAUCCAAGCACCCUGCAAUUGCCUGAGAUGGUUAGAGGUCUUACACAGAUGGAAGACAACCCGUUUAGAACCGGAGAUCUCAGUCUGACUUUGUACAGCCCCAACCAUUGUGACAGUGGCCUCUAUGUCUGCACCGUCCAAAAGGGUGGACACAACCUGAAGCAGAAGGUUGUGUCUCUCUUUGUUGAAGGUUAGCUUUGUGAAUACUUCUAUGUCCUGUACUCUACGCUGGUUUGGAAACUCCUCCUGACACCAUAUGGAGCAGAUCAUAAAUUAUCUGAUGAUACAGAGGUCAGAGUCUACCCAUUCAGUAGUCUGUAAGAUAUGGAGGCAAUCCAACCCUCUGCUUGACCAAGUAGAACCCCAAGACUAUUUCUGAACUGCUCCUAGUCUGAACAGGCAUUAAUUCCUGAACACAUCUGUUGUUAACUGGUGCUGUAUAAAUUGCAGAGAAAGUACUGCAAGUAUAUUUUGCGAAACUGCAAUGGAAACACUUUUCUCGCAUCACAUGAUCAACAACUAGAUGCUGCCACUGGGGCAAACCACGAAGAAGACACUAUAAGGAAGUAGUAGGAUGAUGGGGCAGCACAUUUUUUAAUGACACUUAAUUGUGUUUCUUAUUUAAUUGAAACACAGCAGUUGCAAAAUUGUGUUUGUUCAACUUCAGGAGCAUACUGACAAAGUUUUGCACUCAUUUGUGACAGCAACUGACGGAUCUUAAAUAUUGGUAGGCGCUUAAAUACUUGCUUACAUGGUUCCGAAUUUUUUUUAAUAGUUGUGUGUGGUCCACAGAACAUCUGCUCUGGUCUGACACGAACUCCGACCAAACCGACCACAUGCCUAAGAGGAGCAGCCUGAGACAGAGUCUGAAGAGCAGCCUUGGAGGACGAUUUUACUGCAAUCAAUCGUCUUCCUCUUUUCCGACUUUCGACAGAAGUGGA